CUCUUCUAUUAGGAGAUGCUAGCCCACCAGGGAGCAGCAUGUAAUGGUACACAGCAAUAUUAAAAGACCAGCAAGAAAAGCAACAGCAUCAUCAGGAAUUCCAAGGGAGAAAUCUGAAGGCAAAGCUAAUCUACUUCAAGUGACAAGAAGAAUAACUCUUCAGUGUCCAGUGAGAUGUUGUGAUUAUUAGUGUUUCCAAAACAGUGUUCUUCACUUUAACAUCUUCACUAUGACUGAAUUCAGAGGAAACAUCUGUAGCAGACCAGACAAAGACUCCUUGUUUUAUGAUUGUAUGUCACCCAAAUCUACCUGACUCUGUCUCCUUAUCAGUCAUUGGCAGAAAAUCUACUUGCCAAAGUGUUUUCAAGAUAAUCCAGGAAAGAUACCAGAAGAUGGUGUCAGAUAUCCUGGAACUAGAGUUAGAGGCAUUCGUGAGCCACCCAACAUGGAUGUCAGGAAUGGAACUCUAGUCCCCUGCAAGAGCAGCAAGUGUUUUAAACCACUGA